rnacentral:lncRNA from 1 species
CUGAGCUCCACUAUGUGCCCAUUCCCACGGAGCCAAGUGAUAGGCUCAGUCCCCUACUGUUCCAGUUUGGGACCCAGGCAACUAAAGUGACCACUGGAAUUCAGUGCUUGGGUGUGUUGAUGGGUAAGUGUAGGAAGUGAAAUAUCACCCUCCUUGGAGUGACAGAUUACGGAGAAGAUGUCAGCAGAGCAGAAGGAUCCUGGGAGAGAGAUUUGGAGGAGGGAGUAGAGAUUAAGAAUAUAUGCAACCUUAGUCAAGAGGAGGCCCUAACUCUUCAUGUGGCCAGAAGAAAGGCAGAAAGAACUGUACAGAAAUGGGUUCCAUGGGCAGAAUUUUCUCAGCUGAGAAACAGAGUGACCUUCUUUGCUCAGAACAUUUUCUAAGGAAGUAACAAGGCUCCAACUUUUUCUGAAAUUUUCUUCACAGG